GCGCCGGCGCCGCCGCCCCGGUUGCGGCCCCGGCGCCUUCAGCUCAGCAUCAUCAGCAUCAUCAGCAGCAUCAUCAGCAUCAUCAUCAGCAGCAGCAGCAGCAGCGGCACCUUCACCAGCGGUCACUGGUCAAGCGAGCGGCUUCGGAGGCCGCGUCCGGGGCCGCGGCCGCCGUGCGGAGGAAAGGGCGACCCCGCAAGGAGGGGAGGGGCGGGGGGGGUACAGGGGCGGGGGGGCUGCACGGGGGAGCCGGGAUGACGCGCACGGUGAGCCCAGUACUGGACAGGGACGCCGGGCGUCCCGGUGGUGCCGCUACCUCCGUGGGGGGGGUCCCUCACCUAGCGGCACUGCCAACACGGAAGUCGUUCAGCGUGCAGAUCUGUGGGGACCCGUUGACCCAGCUGGACGUAGACAACGAUGUCUCCCUGUCUCUGUGUGUCUCUGUGUGUCUCACUCUGUGUCUCUGUGUCUCUGUGUGUCUCACUCUGUGUGUCUCACUCUGUGUCUCUGUGUCUCUCUGUGUGUCUCAGAUCUGUGGGGACCCGUUGACCCAGCUGGACGUGGACAACGAUGUCUCCGUGUCUCCGCGUCUCCACCUGCUGCGCUGUCUCUGUGUCUCUGUGUGUCUCACUCUGUGUCUCUGUGUCUCUGUGUCUCUGUGUGUCUCUGUGUGUCUCACUCUGUGUCUCUGU